rnacentral:rRNA from 1 species
UACGGAGGGGGCGAGCGUUGUUCGGAAUCAUUGGGCGUAAAGCGCGUGUAGGCGGCUUGGCAAGUCGGUUGUGAAAUCCCGGGGCCCAACCCCGGAACUGCAAUCGAAACUGCCUCGCUAGAGUCCCGGAGAGGAAGGCGGAAUUCCCGGUGUAGAGGUGAAAUUCGUAGAUAUCGGGAGGAACACCAGUGGCGAAGGCGGCCUUCUGGACGGUGACUGACGCUCAGACGCGAAAGCGUGGGGAGCAAGCAGG